ACUGGUUUAAACUCUCUAUCCACACCCCGUGGCCCCUGCCGUUAGAGUCAGCGCCGGUAUAUUUGCACCUCCAACGGGAGGGGGCCCCAUCCCUCUGAAAAACUCUCGCCGAGAGGGCCUUUGCUUUUGCGCCCUGGGCCUCGUCCGCCCCAGGCUCUUCCUCCAGAAGCGGAAGCCCUUUCUCAGGCCCGCCUCCAGGAGGGACGCGCCCGGCUCUCAGUCUUUCGACCCAAAGAGCGCAGUGCGAAAUUCCGAUCCGGCUCUGCCCUAGCAGGCCGCGACAGGCGGGUGGGCGGGCGGAGACGAGACGCAGCAUCUCCUCCCGCGGAGGCGGGAAAGGACGCGGGGGAGGAUGGAAGCCAGAGCCCGGAGGGGCAGACAGGCGGAGCCGCCGUGUAGGGAGAAGCGCCUCCUACCCACCUGGCCAGGCCAGAGUCAGAGUCAGUGCUGCCAGCGCCAGGAUCGCGAGGAGCCGCGAAGGGCGUCGUCGCGACAUGGCUCAGCGCGCAGGAGGACGAAGAAGCGUUGAGACCCGGAGUAUAUUAUACAUUCAUCAUCACUUCUCAUAGCACAACCAUCUGUGUCAGCAUGAUUUUUUUCCUAAUGUUCCUAGCUUGCUCAAAAGAAGUUGACACUAAAGAUUAAUAUUUUGUCCUGUGAAAAAGAAAUAGCAACAUUUCAUUGAACUAGAACAAGAAAUUCAGUAACUAUAAAAAGCAGGCAGUUUAUAUGCAAUAUAAUGGUGAAUUACAAGGAAGAAAGAGGAAUCGCUUCUAAGGGAAAAAUACGAAACUAACCUGAGUUUUCUCACUUACGUUGACAAUGGAAAGCUAAAGCAGGUAUAUUUGCUGAAGUAAUAGGGAGAACAUGUAAUUGAAAAGAUGAAGCAGAUCAGUACAGGACUUAAAAAUACAUUUAGAUGCACUGUUUGAAAUGGACAGAUGAGACUUCCUGUGAAUUAAUGGACCGUUCUUAUUAAGGAAAUGGCAUAAUCCAUAUCACACCACCAAAAACCAGGAAGAGCAAUAGGAUACCGGUCAGAGAACCUAUUAAAG